rnacentral:rRNA from 1 species
GAGACCUCAGGUCAGGCGGGACUACCCGCUGAAUUUAAGCAUAUCA